UAACCGAACAAAAGAACCAUAAUAUUAAUAUUCCUCUUAAAACCCACCCCAUUGAUAGAGCUACAGAGAAGAUGGAGGUGAGCAUGGGUGAGAAAAUGGCGGGAGCUGAAGUUGCGCCGCGGUUCAAAUCCAAGAAAGGGGGUGUAAUUCCUCCAAAAAGAAGAUUAGUGAAGAGGAUGAUGUUUGACUCCAUACUUAAAUUUAUUGCUACUCUUCUUUGCGCCAAUCGCCAUCCUUCUCCCUCUGACAUCGGAAUCAUUUCGCCCCCCAACAAAUCAACAGAGAAUGUGAAGAUGAAGAAUAUGAAGAUUUUCCCGCACGGAGGCCAUCAAGUAUCUGCUGCAAUCUCCAAAUGACCAUCAGCGAAAGCUUAGCCGAUAUUUGUAGUUUUUUUUUUUUUUUAAAACCUUUAGCUUUUUUAUGGUGUGGGUCAAGAUUGUACAUAUUUACUUCAUUUGGUGAGUUCUUCUGUUAACAGGGGAUCGCGUUGUUGUACAUUCUCCAGGGUCAAUCCCUGUGAUUGCUAUUGGGGUACGGUGUGUUAGGUCUAUUUAAUAUGUGCUUUCUGUAUAAAGAAAUAAAUAUUUGACGUGCACAUCAAUUUUUACUUCUUAUUUCUUAAUUAAGGUUUCGAUGUGAAACCUUUUUUUUACGUAGAAUGUUUUUUUUUUUAACCUUUUUGGGUGUUUCCCUGCUUCUAAAACUUCCCCUUCUCUGCACAUCCAACGGCACCAUUUUCGCUUCUCUCUCUCUUCCUCUCUGCAGUCCUCAAAAGUCAAAACUCCUCUCUCUUUCCCCCGCGAAGCUCUAUUUCUCCAUUUUCUCCAGUGCAGGACAACCGAGCCGCCAUCGAUCUAUAGAGGUGUCAUUAGAAUUUUUUUGACUUGGCUAUUGGUACGGGAAUCAAAUAUGGAUUGCUUGAUUGCAUCUGCAUUGCCAGAAAUAUAUGUACAGGUGGUGACACGUACAAAGGAGUGGUCUGUUUUCUCCCUUUUCAAUUCCCCGUUGAAAAUUGAAACUUGAAGUGUAGAAGUGGGUCCUACUACCCUUCUUUGGUGGAUGCUUCCAGGAAGUGUCCAAGCAGCUUCCUCUGUCCAGGCAAAAAAAGAAUACCGAAGCAAAAAGAUUAAAAUUAAAUUUGACUUUCUACAUUUGUUUCUUUCUUUUUUGCAAAAGAAUGAGAUGGUUUGUAUCAUCAUGUUGAAGCGACUGUUACUUGCCGGUUGCCACACGAAGAUAAGGUGAAAGUUCUUUGAAGAACAGAAAUCCCAAUGAUUUCAAUUGUGCCUUGUUCAAACUUCCAACACUUAACAUAGGAUUGCUGCUGGACCCUUCUAACUAGAUUAUAUAUGUAAACGAAGAUAAUCAAAUAAUUUUAGCGAUUAAAAAAUUUGAUCUUGUUCUCCUUUUUGAGUA